GCUCACCUGCCUGGAAACCAGUUCUCGCUGGGUAAUCAAUCCUCCAGCAUCGCGAAUCGAGCCACCACCGACUUGAGGAUCUCUGUGGUGAUAGACGACAGCACCCGCUCAUCAUAGUCCUCACCAAUGCUGGUGUAGAUCUGAGGAAGCUGGCUGGCCACUGGCCGGAAGAGGAUGUGUAGUGUGAUGGUGACAUUCUGCAAGUCUUUGCUAACAGUGAUGACCCGCACAUUCCGUGGUCGAGAGCGGCAGUCAAACAUAAUUGGCUUCUGUACCCAAGGGAUGAGAAACUGAGUCCCUUCCACUACCAGUGUCCUGUACGCCACGGAAUCGGUCAAAGACGACAGCUCUGUGUCCAGCAUCCACGUUAUGUAAAGCAGAGUUCACCACGCCCCCUGCAACUGCUAAUGCCAGGCCGAACUUUCCGACUGACUCAAAGGCUUUGACAGCCAUGAUUUCUUCUAUUGCUUCCACUCUGACCUCCACAUGAAUUCCCCCUAAUUAAUACUUUUAAUCCUUGCUAUGUAUCCCUCCUCCCUUAGUGCUACUCAGCUACAUGCUGGAUAAAUUCAAUCUCCUUGCACAGAAUUUAGGAUUUGACAAGCCUACUUAACUCCCACUGCUAAGUUCUCUCUGUCAAAUGCUACUCAUUGCAACACCAUCAAGCUUCCCUUAGAAACUUAGCUCCUUUAUUCUUUUGCUACUUCAAAUCCACAUUCAAAAGCUCCACCAACAGGUUGCACAGGGGUUGAUCAUGACAAGAAUAUCAGUGUCUCAACACUGCGCUGUUCUUAAUCAACUAGUAGACGUUUGGAAUAUCUAAUACAGUCAGAAUUUUCACCUUCAACGUGGAUAGAAAACUUCAGAAACCCAAUUUGGCCCAGAUUCUUUUGAAGCUUCUAGAAGAAGGCUUUUCCAGAGACUACACAAUGGGAGAUUUGGGAUCUUUACUGUAUAUGCUCCAGCAAGAGAAUAAAUCUUCAGUUCGCAUUUA